rnacentral:rRNA from 1 species
UGCUUUGCUGACGAGUGGCGGACGGGUGAGUAAUGUCUGGGAAACUGCCUGAUGGAGGGGGAUAACUACUGGAAACGGUGGCUAAUACCGCAUAACGUCGCAAGACCAAAGAGGGGGACCUUCGGGCCUCUUGCCAUCAGAUGUGCCCAGAUGGGAUUAGCUUGUUGGUGAGGUAACGGCUCACCAAGGCGACGAUCCCUAGCUGGUCUGAGAGGAUGACCAGCCACACUGGAACUGAGACACGGUCCAGACUCCUACGGGAGGCAGCAGUGGGGAAUAUUGCACAAUGGGCGCAAGCCUGAUGCAGCCAUGCCGCGUGUAUGAAGAAGGCCUUCGGGUUGUAAAGUACUUUCAGCGGGGAGGAAGGUGUUGUGGUUAAUAACCGCAGCAAUUGACGUUACCCGCAGAAGAAGCACCGGCUAACUCCGUGCCAGCAGCCGCGGUAAUACGGAGGGUGCAAGCGUUAAUCGGAAUUACUGGGCGUAAAGCGCACGCAGGCGGUCUGUCAAGUCGGAUGUGAAAUCCCCGGGCUCAACCUGGGAACUGCAUUCGAAACUGGCAGGCUUGAGUCUUGUAGAGGGGGGUAGAAUUCCAGGUGUAGCGGUGAAAUGCGUAGAGAUCUGGAGGAAUACCGGUGGCGAAGGCGGCCCCCUGGACAAAGACUGACGCUCAGGUGCGAAAGCGUGGGGAGCAAACAGGAUUAGAUACCCUGGUAGUCCACGCCGUAAACGAUGUCUACUUGGAGGUUGUGCCCUUGAGGCGUGGCUUCCGGAGCUAACGCGUUAAGUAGACCGCCUGGGGAGUACGGCCGCAAGGUUAAAACUCAAAUGAAUUGACGGGGGCCCGCACAAGCGGUGGAGCAUGUGGUUUAAUUCGAUGCAACGCGAAGAACCUUACCUGGUCUUGACAUCCACAGAACUUUCCAGAGAUGGAUUGGUGCCUUCGGGAACUGUGAGACAGGUGCUGCAUGGCUGUCGUCAGCUCGUGUUGUGAAAUGUUGGGUUAAGUCCCGCAACGAGCGCAACCCUUAUCCUUUGUUGCCAGCGGUCCGGCCGGGAACUCAAAGGAGACUGCCAGUGAUAAACUGGAGGAAGGUGGGGAUGACGUCAAGUCAUCAUGGCCCUUACGACCAGGGCUACACACGUGCUACAAUGGCGCAUACAAAGAGAAGCGACCUCGCGAGAGCAAGCGGACCUCAUAAAGUGCGUCGUAGUCCGGAUUGGAGUCUGCAACUCGACUCCAUGAAGUCGGAAUCGCUAGUAAUCGUGGAUCAGAAUGCCACGGUGAAUACGUUCCCGGGCCUUGUACACACCGCCCGUCACACCAUGGGAGUGGGUUGCAAAAGAAGUAGGUAGCUUAACCUUCGGGGGGGCGCUUACCACUUUGUGAUUCAUGACUGGGGUGAAGUCGUAACAAGGUAACCGUAGGGGAACCUGCGGUUGGAUCACCUCCUUA